CGGCUAUGUCUGGGGCAGCGGGCGCGGUAGCGCGGGGGGGGGUGGCGGUGUUCGGAAGUACUGGGCGUAAAGGGCACGUAGGGGGGCCGUAGAGUUGGGGGUGAAAUCCCGGGGCUCAACCUCGGAACUGCCUUCAAGACUAUCGGUCUGGAGUUCGAGAGAGGUGAGUGGAAUUCCGAGUGUAGAGGUGAAAUUCGUAGAUAUUCGGAGGAACACCAGUGGCGAAGGCGGCUCACUGGCUCGAUACUGACGCUGAGGUGCGAAAGCGUGGGGAGCAAACAGGAUUAGUACCCGGGUAGUC
rnacentral:rRNA from 1 species